rnacentral:rRNA from 1 species
UGAUGUGAAAGCCUUCGGCUCAACCGGAGAAUUGCAUCAGAAACUGUUGAACUUGAGUGCAGAAGAGGAGAGUGGAACUCCAUGUGUAGCGGUGGAAUGCGUAGAUAUAUGGAAGAACACCAGUGGCGAAGGCGGCUCUCUGGUCUGCAACUGACGCUGAGGCUCGAAAGCAUGGGUAGCGAACAGGAUUAGAUACCCUGGUAGUCCAUGCCGUAAACGAUGAGUGCUAAGUGUUGGGAGGUUUCCGCCUCUCAGUGCUGCAGCUAACGCAUUAAGCACUCCGCCUGGGGAGUACGACCGCAAGGUUGAAACUCAAAGGAAUUGACGGGGGCCCGCACAAGCGGUGGAGCAUGUGGUUUAAUUCGACGCAACGCGAAGAACCUUACCAGGGCUUGACAUCCUACUAACGAACCAGAGAUGGAUUAGGUGCCCUUCGGGGAAAGUAGAGACAGGUGGUGCAUGGUUGUCGUCAGCUCGUGUCGUGAGAUGUUGGGUUAGGUCCCGCAACGAGCGCAACCCCUAUUGUUAGUUGCUACGCAAGAGCACUCUAGCGAGACUGCCGUUGACAAAACGGAGGAAGGUGGGGACGACGUCAAAUCAUCAUGCCCCUUACGUCCUGGGCCACACACGUACUACAAUGGCGGCCAACAAAGAGAGGCAAAGCCGCGAGGUGGAGCAAAUCUCAAAAAGCCGUCCCAGUUCGGAUCGCAGGCUGCAACCCGCCUGCGUGAAGUUGGAAUCGCUAGUAAUCGCGGAUCAGCAUGCCGCGGUGAAUACGUUCCCGGGCCUUGUACACACCGCCCGUCACACCAUGAGAGUCGGGAACACCCGAAGUCCGUAGCCUAACCGCAAGGGGGGCGCGGCCGAAGGUGGGUUCGAUAAUUGGGGUGAAGUCGUAACAAGGUAACCGUAA